GAUGAAGAACGCAGCGAAAUGCGAUACGUAAUGUGAAUUGCAAAUUCAGUGAAUCAUCGAGUCUUUGAACGCACAUUGCGCCCCCGGGUAUUCCGGGGGGCAUGCCUGUCCGAGCGUCAUUGCUGCCCUCAAGCACGGCUUGUGUGUUGGGCCCCGUCCUCCGAUCCCGGGGGACGGGCCCGAAAGGCAGCGGCGGCACCGCGUCCGGUCCUCGAGCGUAUGGGGCUUUGUCACCCGCUCUGUAGGCCCGGCCGGCGCUUGCCGAUCAACCCAAAUUUUUAUCCAGGUUGACCUCGGAUCAGGUAGGGAUACCCGCUGAACUUAAGCAUAUCAAUAAGCGGAGGA
rnacentral:misc_RNA from 1 species